rnacentral:rRNA from 1 species
ACGAACGCUGGCGGCGUGCUUAACACAUGCAAGUCGCACGGAAAGGCCCUGCUUUUGUGGGGUGCUCGAGUGGCGAACGGGUGAGUAACACGUGAGUAACCUGCCCUUGACUUUGGGAUAACUUCAGGAAACUGGGGCUAAUACCGGAUAGGAGCUCCUGCUGCAUGGUGGGGGUUGGAAAGUUUCGGCGGUUGGGGAUGGACUCGCGGCUUAUCAGCUUGUUGGUGGGGUAGUGGCUUACCAAGGCUUUGACGGGUAGCCGGCCUGAGAGGGUGACCGGCCACAUUGGGACUGAGAUACGGCCCAGACUCCUACGGGAGGCAGCAGUGGGGAAUAUUGCACAAUGGGCGGAAGCCUGAUGCAGCAACGCCGCGUGCGGGAUGACGGCCUUCGGGUUGUAAACCGCUUUCGCCUGUGACGAAGCGUGAGUGACGGUAAUGGGUAAUGAAGCACCGGCUAACUACGUG